rnacentral:rRNA from 1 species
AUUGAACGCUGGCGGCAUGCUUUACACAUGCAAGUCGAACGGUAACAGCACUUCGGUGGCUGACGAGUGGCGAACGGGUGAGUAAUACAUCGGAACGUGCCUAGUAGUGGGGGAUAACUACUCGAAAGAGUAGCUAAUACCGCAUGAGAUCUAAGGAUGAAAGCAGGGGACCUUCGGGCCUUGCGCUACUAGAGCGGCUGAUGGCAGAUUAGAUAGUUGGUGGGAUAAAAGCUUACCAAGCCGACGAUCUGUAGCUGGUCUGAGAGGACGACCAGCCACACUGGGACUGAGACACGGCCCAGACUCCUACGGGAGGCAGCAGUGGGGAAUUUUGGACAAUGGGCGCAAGCCUGACCCAGCAAUGCCGCGUGCAGGAUGAAGGCCUUCGGGUUGUAAACUGCUUUUGUACGGAACGAAAAGCCCUCUUCUAAUACAGGAGGGUCAUGACGGUACCGUAAGAAUAAGCACCGGCUAACUACGUG